rnacentral:rRNA from 1 species
GCAUAUCAGUAAGCGGAGGAAAAGAAACUAACCAGGAUUCCCCCAGUAACGGCGAGUGAACGGGGAUUAGCCCAGCAUCGAAGCCUAUGGUCGUUUGACUGUAAGGCAAUGUGAUGUUAUGGAUCUUGCCUAGGGUCACUGGUCAACUCGAAGUCCAAUAUUGAAUGUGGCUUUUGUAUAUGGCCCAGAGCGGGUGAUAGGCCCGUGCGAGUUGACUGUUAGUGGUGUUGAGUGGCCUCUAGAUGCAAUGAUCUUUGGAGUCGGAUUGCUUGAGAAUGCAGUCCAAAGUUGGUGGUAAACUCCAUCAAAGGCUAAAUACUGGCACGAGUCCGAUAGCAAACAAGUACCGUGAGGGAAAGUUGAAAAGUACUCUGAAGAGAGAGUAAAUAGUACGUGAAACCACAUGGAGGUAAGCGGGUGGAGUCCAGCUGCUUGCUUUGAGGAUUUAGCCAGCCUGUGCAUAAUGGGUGUUGUGAACUGCCAUACUGUGGUUCGUCGUUAAAAGACGAGUUGGGCUUUGCUCAAUCCAUGUGCUCUCUUGUAGAGAGUGUGGGCCAUGUGUGUAUUGGUGUGUGUGUUCGCAGGUUGGUGUCAUUUCUCAUUGCUAACAUCACAGUCAAUAUUGCUGCUAGUGUAUGAUGCGUCAAACCGACAGAUGGUGAGCCUUGAAGUUCAUCUCUGCCGGGAUGGCAGGUGGUGUGCUUGCAUAUGCGCUUUACUGUGUAUAUUCAUGCAUGCUUAAACAUGGCUACGGCCAGCCGACCAUCAUGUUGUUAUGUUUACAUUAAACUAUGCAGUAUAUUGGUUAUAGUAUGUGCAACUGCGCGAUCAGUUGUUCAUGUGUCCGAUUAUUGCUCAUGUUGGGUUAUGUGUAACAGCGUGCCCGGUGUGAUGCUUGGUCGUGUAUGUGGACAAUGAAGUCGUACUGUACGUGUAAACUGUGGUGCUGUGGUAGACGUUCCACCUGAC